rnacentral:rRNA from 1 species
CCUACGGGAGGCAGCAGUGGGGGAUAUUGCACAAUGGGGGGAACCCUGAUGCAGCGACGCCGCGUGGGUGAAGGAGCGUUUCGGCGCGUAAAGCCCUAUCGGCAGGGAAGAAGGAGGACGGUACCUUACUAAGAAGCCCCUGCUAACUACGUGCCAGCAGCCGCGGUAAUACGUAGGGGGCAAGCGUUAUCCGGAGUUACUGGGUGUAACGGGGGCGCAGACGGCAGCGCAAGCCAGGAGUGAAAGCCCGGGGCCCAACCCCGGGACUGCUAUUGGAACUGCGCGGCUGGAGUGCAGGAGGGGCAGGCGGAAUUCCUGGUGUAGCGGUGAAAUGCGUAGAUAUCAGGAGGAACACCGGUGGCGAAGGCGGCCUGCUGGACUGCGACUGACGUUGAGGCCCGAAAGCGUGGGGAGCAAACAGGAUUAGAUACCCGGGUAGUC